rnacentral:rRNA from 1 species
CAAGGAKUYUUAYUUUCGUGCGAGUCGAAGGGAAACGUGAAACCCGUUCGGCGCAGCGAAAGCAAAGAUCGCGAUCCCCGCUCUCGAUUUGGACGGGGCGCAGCGACCGCCCUUUCUGCAAGGAAGGAGCGAGAGCACGCCGGUAGGGACCCGAUAGGUGGUGAACUAUUCUCGGGCAGGACGAAGGCCGAGGAAACUCGGCUGGAGGUCCGAAGAGGUUCUGACGUGCAAAUCGAUCUCCCGACCCGAGUAUAGGGGCGAAAGACCAAUCGAACCACCUGGUAGCUGGUUCCCUCCGAAGUUUCCCUCAGGAUAGCUGUCGCUCGUUYUGCAGCAGUCUCGUUCCCGUAGAGAGAAUGAUUAGGGCGACUCGGGGACGCCUCUGUCACUCGACCUCUUCUCAAACUACGAAGGGACGUGACUUCUACCUCCCUCGACGUGGAGGUGAUA